rnacentral:misc_RNA from 1 species
CCGAGUUUACAACUCCCAAACCCCUGUGAACAUACCACUUGUUGCCUCGGCGGAUCAGCCCGCUCCCGGUAUAAACGGGACGGCCCGCCAGAGGACCCCUAAACUCUGUUUCUAUAUGUAACUUCUGAGUAAAACCAUAAAUAAAUCA